GUAUGCCAAUCCACACUUAUGGCUGCUGCCGGUAAAAAAAGGAGGAACGUCAACAUCCGCAGGACUCGCGGUGCGGUAUUGUGGAGACAUACCGUAAUACAGCCGUCAAGCCCGAUGGCUGUGAGCGUGCGCAUUGCAGAGGCAGCGCACGGCAGAGUCAAAUCGUAUGGCA
rnacentral:ncRNA from 1 species